UGCUGGGCUCCAUAUACAACAAGGGAAAUGAGGGUUUCACAAAAGCAUAAAGGCUCAUAUUGUGAUUCUUGAAGGUUCACAUUCAUGCGUUCUUCAAAUGCAUUUGCAGCUACCCUAAUGAGUGUCCUAGAGUGUCCUUGGUAAUUUGGCUGUACAUUUACAGAUUGGGCCCAAAAAACAUCCAGAAGAAAAUGGGGGGAGGAAGUGUAAGUCACAUAUAUUUUUUAAUUUAAACAUUUGACAAAGCUAAUCCACCUUUUAAACUUAAUAACAUAGUCAUGAAGAAAUAAAGGCUUUUUAUAUUUUACUUAUCCUUGAGUGCCUUGGCGUUGCAUGAUUUAUACAAAUGGAGAUGUAUUUCAAAAGCUAUAUGACAGGAUGACAAUAAUUAGCGUUCUCUGUAAGUCACAUACAGUGGAUAAAAGCAUGAUUUUCUAAAUGAAUGAAUGAAUGCUAAUGUAAAAGAAUCCAUGAGCAACAAAUUUUAAUGUAAUGUCUCACCAUACAGUCAAGUGAGAGAGCGAUAGAGCUGGACAGAAGAGCGAUGGACCUGGAUAGGAGAGCGAUGGAACUGGAUAGAAGAGUGAUGGAACUGGAUAGAACGCAGAUGAAACAGGAGACAAGGGCUCCUAACUGUUGCGGUUGCUGCUUCCUUCAGAUGGUAUCACAGAACAGAAAUGAAUCAACUACCAUGAUCAAUUCACAACAAGUAAAUCGCAAUAAAUCAUAAACUAAAGAUAGGGAAGGUGUCACGAUCCCACCAGGCUCUCCCUCACUAAUCAGACCGUCACACUCACUAGACUACUGAUCACAAUCAAGUCACCUUUAUUUGUAUAGUGCUUUAUACAAUACUGGUUGUGUCAAUCAUGUUAAACAGGAAAAUAAUUUGUCAAUAAUGCAAGAGGACAAUAACAAAGAGUCAUUUUCCCAGCUAAAGUCAGUUCAUUGAUGAUUCAGUGAUGUCAUCAUCCAGUUCAGCUCUCUUCCAAUAGUGUUUGUGCAAUCAGUCAAUUUGGGAGAAACCUGGGAGAAACCUGGCUCAGAUCACAGACUGCAUUUCCCAUCAUCCUCUCUGGCACUUAACCAUGCACACCUGACACUGAUCAACCGUCAUCACCAGCACUACAAGUAGAGCAUCCCCGCCCCCAUCCCAUUCAUUGUAUGCACUUGUUGGAUGCAGUCCUCUGUGGACAC
ensembl:lncRNA